ensembl:lncRNA
CAAACAGGUUUUGCAGCUGUUUGAGCUAAGAUUUUAAAGUUAUUCACAUAAUGAAAACCUAUACUUUGUGUCGUGCGAGUUCCCCAUUCAAAUGCAUGUAAUCGUCAGAAACGCACUGUCUUGGCGAAAUAAAGCGUUUUUGCACAACUUCAUAUAAAUCGCUGUAACUUUUGAUAGAAGACUCAGACAAACAUGUUUAUGGCCUUAUAUUAUAGAACUCAAGGUCUCCGUGCUGGGAAAACAGGUUUUGCAGCUGUUUGAGCUAAGAUUUCCAAGUUAUUCACAUAAUGAAAACCUAUACUUUGUUUCGGUCGAGUUCCCCAUUCAAAUGCAUGUAACAGUGAGAAACGCACUGUCUUGGCGAAAGAAAGCGUUUUUGUACAACUUCAUAUAAAUAGCUGUAACUUUUGAUAGAAGACUCGGAUACACAUGUUUAUGGCUUUAUCUUAUAGAACUCAAGGUCUCCGUGCUGGGAAAACAGGUUUUGCAGCUGUUUGAGCUAAGAUUUCCAAGUUAUUCACAUAAUGAAAACCUAUACUUUGUUUCGGUCGAGUUCCCCAUUCAAAUGCAUGUAACAGUGAGAAACGCACUGUCUUGGCGAAAGAAAGCGUUUUUGUACAACUUCAUAUAAAUAGCUGUAACUUUUGAUAGAAGACUCGGAUACACAUGUUUAUGGCUUUAUCUUAUAGAACUCAAGGUUCCCGUGCUGGGAAAACAGGUUUUGCAGCUGUUUGAGCUAAGAUUUCCAAGUUAUUCACAUAAUGAAAACCUAUACUUUGUUUCGGUCGAGUUCCCCAUUCAAAUGCAUGUAACAGUGAGAAACGCACUGUCUUGGCGAAAGAAAGCGUUUUUGUACAACUUCAUAGAAAUAGCUGUAACUUUUGAUAGAAGACUCAGACAAACAUGUUUAUGGCUUUAUCUUAUAGAACUCAAGGUCUCCGUGCUGGGCAAACAGGUUUUGCAGCUGUUUGAGCUAAGAUUUCCAAGUUAUUCACAUAAUGAAAACCUAUACUUUGUUUCGGUCGAGUUCCCCAUUCAAAUGCAUGUAACAGUGAGAAACGCACUGUCUUGGCGAAAGAAAGCGUUUUUGUACAACUUCAUAUAAAUAGCUGUAACUUUUGAUAGAAGACUCAGACAAACAUGUUUAUGGCUUUAUCUUAUAGAACUCAAGGUUCCCGUGCUGGGAAAACAGGUUUUGCAGCUGUUUGAGCUAAGAUUUCCA